rnacentral:rRNA from 1 species
GAAAUUUCGAUUAAACGCGGAAGAACCCUUACCCAGGUCUUGACAUCUUUCUGCUAACCUAAGAGAUUAGGCGUUCCCUUUGGGGACGGAAUGACAGGUGGUGCAUGGUUGUCGUCAGCUCGUGUCGUGAGAUGUUGGGUUAAGUCCCGCAACGAGCGCAACCCUUAUUGUCAGUUGCCAGCAUUUAGUUGGGCACUCUGGCGAGACUGCCGGUGACAAACCGGAGGAAGGUGGGGAUGACGUCAAAUCAUCAUGCCCCUUAUGACCUGGGCUACACACGUGCUACAAUGGACGGUACAACGAGUCGCGAAACCGCGAGGUCAAGCUAAUCUCUUAAAGCCGUUCUCAGUUCGGAUUGUAGGCUGCAACUCGCCUACAUGAAGUUGGAAUCGCUAGUAAUCGUGGAUCAGCA